rnacentral:rRNA from 1 species
AUUGAACGCUGGCGGCAGGCCUAACACAUGCAAGUCGAGCGGAUGAAGGGAGCUUGCUCCUGGAUUCAGCGGCGGACGGGUGAGUAAUGCCUAGGAAUCUGCCUGGUAGUGGGGGAUAACGUCCGGAAACGGGCGCUAAUACCGCAUACGUCCUGAGGGAGAAAGUGGGGGAUCUUGGGACCCAAGGCUAUCGGAGGAGCCUAGGUCGGAUUAGCUAGUUGGUGGGGUAAAGGCCUACCAAGGCGACGAUCCGUAACUGGUCUGAGAGGAUGAUCAGUCACACUGGAACUGAGACACGGUCCAGACUCCUACGGGAGGCAGCAGUGGGGAAUAUUGGACAAUGGGCGAAAGCCUGAUCCAGCCAUGCCGCGUGUGUGAAGAAGGUCUUCGGAUUGUAAAGCACUUUAAGUUGGGAGGAAGGGCAGUAAGUUAAUACCUUGCUGUUUUGACGUUACCAACAGAAUAAGCACCGGCUAACUUCGUG